rnacentral:rRNA from 1 species
AGGUUAAGCGGAAAACGUGGAGCCGAAGCGAAAGCGAGUCUUAAUAGGGCGCGAGUACGAUGCUAUAGACCCGAAACCAAGCGAUCUAUUCAUGAGCAGGUUGAAGUAAGGGUGAAACCUUAUGGAGGACCGAACCAACUUCUGAUGCAAUAGGAGUGGAUGACUUGUGAAUAGCGGAGAAAUUCCAGUCGAGCUUGGAAAUAGCUGGUUCUCCCCGAAAUAGGUUUAGGCCUAGCCUUCUAAUUAGCUACCUGGAGGUAAAGCACUGAAUAUGGAAGGGCCGCACCUAGCGGUACUAACUGUAAUCAAACUCUGAAUGCCAGGAUAGUAUGUAGAGGAGUCAGUGUAUGGGUGAUAACGUCCAUACGCGAAAGGAAAUGAAUCCAGACCGUCAGUUAAGGUCCCAAAAUUUAUGCUAAGUGGAAAACGAUGUGGAGCUGCUAGAACAGCUAGGAGGUUGGCUCAGAAGCAGCCACCCUUUAAAGAGUGCGUAAUAGCUCACUAGUCGAGUGGCUCUGCGCGGAAUAUGUACCGGGGCUAAGCAUAAUACCGAAACUGCGGAUUCGUAAUUUAUUACGGAUGGUAGGGGAGCGUUCUAUGGGCGCUGAAGGUAGACCGUGAGGACUACUGGAGCGCAUAGAAGUGAGAAUGCCGGUGUGAGUAACGUAAGGAGGGUGAGAAUCCCUCCCACCGAUCGACUAAGGUUUCCUGGGUAAAGUUCGUCUCCCCAGGGUAAGUCGGGACCUAAGGCGAGGCCGAAAGGCGUAGUCGAUGGACAACAGGUUUAUAUUCCUGUACCACCUAUAUGACUGAUGGAGUGACGGAGAAAGCUAAGCAGGGCCGGUUAUUGGAUUCCGGUCUAAGCACAAAGGUAGAUGAAAUAAGAAAAUCUGUUCAUUGUUAUGCUGAAGUGUGAUGGCGACGAAUUCCUCGGAAUUUUAAGUCUGCUGACGCUAUGCUUCCAAGAAAAGCUUCUAAAGAUAUUAUAUAGGUGCCCGUACCAAGAACCGACACAGGUGGUCAAGGAGAGAAUCCUAAGGUGAGCGAGAUAACUAUGGUUAAGGAACUCGGCAAAAUAACCCCGUAACUUCGGGAGAAGGGGAGGUUUCUUCGGAAACCCGCAGGAAAUAGGUCCAGGCAACUGUUUAGCAAAAACACAGGUCUCUGCUAAAGCGUAAGCUGAUGUAUAGGGGCUGACGCCUGCCCAGUGCUGGAAGGUUAAGAGGAGAUGUUAGCUGGACGUAAGUCAAUAACAGCAAAGCUUCGAAUUGAAGCCCCAGUGAACGGCGGCCGUAACUAUAACGGUCCUAAGGUAGCGAAAUUCCUUGUCAGGUAAGUUCUGACCCGCACGAAAGGCGUAAUGAUCUGGAUACUGUCUCAACCAUAGACUCGGUGAAAUCUUAAUACCUGUGAAAAUGCAGGUUACCCGCAACAGGACGGAAAGACCCCAUGGAGCUUUACUACAGUUUGAUAUUGAAAUCAGGUAUGUCAUGUAGAGGAUAGGUGGGAGACUUUGAUGCUAAGGCGCCAGCCUUAGAGUAGUCAACCUUGGAAUACCACCCUUGAUAUAUUUGAUUUCUAACCUGCUACCGUUAUCCGGUAGGGGGACAGUGUCUGAUGGGUAGUUUGACUGGGGCGGUCGCCUCCCAAAAUGUAACGGAGGCGCCCAAAGGUUCCCUCAGAAUGGUUGGAAAUCAUUCGAAGAGUGUAAUGGCAGAAGGGAGCUUAACUGCGAGACCUACAAGUCAAGCAGAUGCGAAAGCAGGGCAUAGUGAUCUUGCGAUUCAGUAUGGAAUGGUCGUUGCUUAACGGAUAAAAGUUACCCUGGGGAUAACAGGCUGAUCCCACCCAAUAGUUCAUAUAGACGGUGGGGAUUGGCACCUCGAUGUCGGCUCGUCGUAUCCUGGAGGUGUAGUCGCUUCCAAGGGUUGGGCUGUUCGCCCAUUAAAACGGCACGCGAGCUGGGUUCAGAACGUCGUGAGACAGUUCGGUCCCUAUCCGUUGUGGGCGCAGGAAAUUUGAGAGGAGCUGUCCUUAGUACGAGAGGACCGGGAUGGACGUACCUCUGGUGUACCGGUUGCAGACCAACUGCACAGCCGGGUAGCUAUGUAUGGAACGGAUAAACGCUGAAGGCAUCUAAGCGUGAAGCCGCCCUCAAGAUAAGAUUUCCCAUUCU